AUACGUAGGGGGCAAGCGUUGUCCGGAAUGAUUGGGCGUAAAGGGCGCGUAGGCGGCCCGGUAAGUCUGAAGUGAAAGUCCUGGUUUUAAGUUGGGAAUUGCUUUGGAUACUGUCGGGCUUGAGUGCAGGAGAGGUAAGUGGAAUUCCCAGUGUAGCGGUGAAAUGCGUAGAGAUUGGGAGGAACACCAGUGGCGAAGGCGACUUACUGGACUGUAACUGACGCUGAGGCGCGAAAGUGUGGGGAGCAAACAGGAUUAGAUACCCUGGUAGUCCACACUGUAAACGAUGAAUGCUAGGUGUAGGGGGUAUCGACCCCUUCUGUGCCGCAGUCAACACAAUAAGCAUUCCGCCUGGGGAGUACGGCCGCAAGGUUGAAACUCAAAUGAAUUGACGGGG
rnacentral:rRNA from 1 species